CUUGGACUGAAAUAGGCAGGACGCUGCCAGGGGCAGGCAGCGAGCGGCCGCAGCGCGCAGGCGCUUCCCGCGGGCACCAGCCGCUGCCCGGCGGCGGAGACACUGAACAGCUGCGGGAGCGGGAAAGUGGUAUCAACAUCAUUUCAUAAUUGCAAGAGUACAUAGCUUCAUCGGAGUGGCAUGCAUCAAGCAUAGAGCAAGGUAGUAAGUUAGGAAAGACAUUCAAACACCUCUUCCCCAAAGGCACAAUGACCUCAAGAUCAAUUGGAAAAG